UACGUAGGGCGCAAGCGUUGUCCGGAAUUAUUGGGCGUAAAGAGCUCGUAGGCGGCUUGUCACGUCGGAUGUGAAAGCCCGGGGCUCAACCCCGGAGGGUCUCUCGAAACUGCCAAGCUAGAGUGCGGAAGAGGCAACUGGAAUUCCCAGUGUAGCGGUGAAAUGCGUAGAUAUUGGGAAGAACACCGGAGGCGAAGGCGGGUUGCUGGGCCGACACUGACGCUGAGGCGCGAAAGCCAGGGGAGCAAACGGGG
rnacentral:rRNA from 1 species